GGUACCGUGGCCGAGAGGCUAGGCAGAGGUCUGCAAAACCUUGUACAUCGGUUCGAAUCCGGUCGGUACCU
rnacentral:tRNA from 1 species